rnacentral:rRNA from 1 species
GAUCCACCCGUUCCCAUACCGAACACGGAAGUUAAGCCCUCCAGCGCCGAUGGUACUUGGGCUUAAGCCCUGGGAGAGUAGGUCGUUGCCAGGC